AACAAACGCUGGCGGCGUGCCUAAUACAUGCAAGUCGAACGGGGAAAGCUUUCGGGUGAGUACUAGUGGCGCACGGGUGAGUAACGCGUGGAUAAUCUGCCUUAGAGUGGGGGAUAACUAGUCGAAAGAUUAGCUAAUACCGCAUAAGACCACAAGAACUGCGGUUCAAGAGGUCAAAGGUUUUUCGCUCUAAGAUGAGUCCGCGUAAGAUUAGCUAGUUGGUGAGGUAACGGCUCACCAAGGCAACGAUCUUUAACUGGUCUGAGAGGAUGAUCAAUCACACUGGAACUGAGACACGGUCCAGACUCCUACGGGAGGCAGCAGUAGGGAAUAUUGCACCAUGGAGGAAACUCUGAUGCAGCGACGCCGCGUGAGUGAUGAAGGCCUUCGGGUCGUAAAGCUCUGUCGCAGGGGAAUAACACAAUGAAUGUACCCUGUAAGAAAGGAUCGGCUAACUUCGUGCCAGCCGCCGCGGUAAGAC
rnacentral:rRNA from 1 species